rnacentral:rRNA from 1 species
GUGGGGAAUUUUGGACAAUGGGCGCAAGCCUGAUCCAGCAAUGCCGCGUGCAGGAAGAAGGCCUUCGGGUUGUAAACUGCUUUUGUACGGAACGAAACGGUCCGGGUUAAUACCCUGGGCUAAUGACGGUACCGUAAGAAUAAGCACCGGCUAACUACGUGCCAGCAGCCGCGGUAAUACGUAGGGUGCAAGCGUUAAUCGGAAUUACUGGGCGUAAAGCGUGCGCAGGCGGUUUUGUAAGACAGGCGUGAAAUCCCCGGGCUCAACCUGGGAAUUGCGCUUGUGACUGCAAAGCUGGAGUGCGGCAGAGGGGGAUGGAAUUCCGCGUGUAGCAGUGAAAUGCGUAGAUAUGCGGAGGAACACCGAUGGCGAAGGCAAUCCCCUGGGCCUGCACUGACGCUCAUGCACGAAAGCGUGGGGAGCAAACAGGAUUAGAAACCCGGGUAGUCC